UACAGAGGGGGCAAGCGUUAUUCGGAAUUAUUGGGCGUAAAGGGCGCGUAGGCGGCCUGGCAAGUGGAAGGUGAAAUCCCUCGGCUUAACCGAGGAACUGCCCUCCAAACUGCUUGGCUUGAGUCCGGGAGAGGUGAGUGGAAUUCCCAGUGUAGCGGUGAAAUGCGUAGAUAUUGGGAGGAACACCAGUGGCGAAGGUGGCUCACUGGACCGGAACUGACGCUGAGGCGCGAAAGCGUGGGGAGCAAACGGGG
rnacentral:rRNA from 1 species